rnacentral:tRNA from 1 species
GCAGUCGUAGCAUAAUGGUAGUGUCCUACGUUGUCAACGUAGUGGGAGCGGGUUCGAACCCCGUCGACUGCG